GAACAGCCGAGCGCGGGAGGUCGGGGCCGGGGUCACGCGGCUCCGGACUGCAGCUGCCGCCGUGGGGCGGGGGUCCCGGGCGGCCCCCGGGCGUCGCGGCCGGCGGAGGCACAGCAUUCCGGCGGCGCGGGCGGCCGCUGUCCUCGCACGACCCCGGCCCGUCCGGAGCGCGCCACGCUCCAACCCUCGGGGCGCCCGGGCGCGGGGAGCACGGGGCCGGGCGCCCGAGCAAGUUGGAGAGGAGCCACAGAGAACACGGAAAAGGUGAAGAGUGGAAGCUCCCAGCUCGGCCCGAGGCCUUGCGUCAGCAGCAUGCCGGACAGGGGCUCGUGGCCUGCACCCCCACACAUCCGGGCAGGGCCCUCACCUCCCCGACAGCGGAGCCCUCAUCCACAGAGGGGGCCAAAUGGCCCAGGACACUUCGUGGGGUGAUCAGAGCAGGGGACAGGAGAAGUCCGCAGCAGAGGACGGAGUCCCUCCAGGGCGCAUGCGCGUGCGCAGGUCCCCACGCUGGACUGUAGACUCGGUGCAUUAAGUGGCCCGUCUGGCUGGCUCCCCGCCAUAUCAGCAGAGUCCGGCCCAGCGUCUGGGCAUCGUGGGCACUCAAUAAUUGCUUGUUGAAUCCAUGCACCUCUGAAAGAACCAGGGAGCCACCCUACUCCAGCCGCCCCACCCCUGCAGGUAACUGUAGGAAGUCCUACCAGACGCAAGGGCUACUCUGGCUCUGCAGACGGGUGAUAUGGGGGUGGGGCAGGAGCUCCCCCACCAGCAGAAGGCUCACCUGGGCCGUGCAAGAGCCAGGAAGUGGCCGUGCCACUCGAGACACGAUUAUGAUUCAGUGAACUCCAGGAUGAACACUGAUUUUCUUCCAAGUUCACGGCCAAUCUGUCCGGGAUCCUCCUGGGGUCCCGCCCACCCCCACCCC